rnacentral:rRNA from 1 species
AGGGAUUCCUUAGUAACGGCGAGUGAAGCGGCAAAAGCUCAAAUUUGAAAUCUGGCACCUUCGGUGUCCGAGUUGUAAUUUGAAGAAGGUAACUUUGGAGUUGGCUCUUGUCUAUGUUCCUUGGAACAGGACGUCACAGAGGGUGAGAAUCCCGUGCGAUGAGAUGCCCAAUUCUAUGUAAAGUGCUUUCGAAGAGUCGAGUUGUUUGGGAAUGCAGCUCUAAGUGGGUGGUAAAUUCCAUCUAAAGCUAAAUAUUGGCGAGAGACCGAUAGCGAACAAGUACAGUGAUGGAAAGAUGAAAAGAACUUUGAAAAGAGAGUGAAAAAGUACGUGAAAUUGUUGAAAGGGAAGGGCUUGAGAUCAGACUUGGUAUUUUGCGAUCCUUUCCUUCUUGGUUGGGUUCCUCGCAGCUUACUGGGCCAGCAUCGGUUUGGAUGGUAGGAUAAUGACUAAGGAAUGUGGCUCUACUUCGGUGGAGUGUUAUAGCCUUGGUUGAUACUGCCUGUCUAGACCGAGGACUGCGUCUUUUGACUAGGAUGUUGGCAUAAUGAUC